CAUGUACUCACUUCGUCUCAAAAUUCUUGUCUUAGGUUUGUUUAGAAAUGGAUGUAUCAAAAUACUAAAACGUGACNNGAUACAUUCAUAUCUAGACAAAUCUAAGACAAUAAUUUUAGGAUGGAGGGAGUACUAA
rfam:Hordeum vulgare subsp. vulgare, WGS project CAJW01000000 data, contig: morex_contig_55888